CAGACUGAUUAUGUUACUACUAUUACUGACAUGUACUUCUCUAAAUACCAAACGGAACACCAGGAUGUCUGCGAUAUUGGCUUAUCUAAGGAGAAACUUUCCAAGUCCUUUGAAUUAUAUUCCUUCGCAACUACGAAAGGCAACCCUCUGGUUCCUCAAAUAAACUCAGUUCUACUUGAGAUAAAAGAAAGGGGAAUAUUGGACAGGAUAAUUGAUAAACAUGUUCCCAGAAAAAAAUCAAAGAAUUUCUGCAAACCAGAUCUUGAAUAUGAUGCCAUUACUUAUGAAUCAGUGAAGGUGUUGUUCUUUAUCUUGGUCUUUGGAAUAUGUUCAUCGGUCAUCAUCUUUAUUUUCGAACAUCUCUAUUGUAAAGAUGGAGAAAGAUAUCUUGUAAAUGAAUAAGGAUAUCCAAGUUCUUUAGCCAUAGUAAACUGAGGAAUAGAAAUUUUUGUCAUUUAUUUCUGAAUUUUUUCCUCAAUUUCUAACUGUUUGAGAUUUUAUCAAAAUCAUGAAAUAAACUUUUUAGGCAAGUAAAUUUUAGGUAGAGAGGAGCAGUUUUAAAGUUUAUAUACAUAUAUAUAUAUAUCUAAAUAGUAACUGAGAAGUACAGAAAGGGGAUCUUAUCUUCCAAAAUGGAAGUGAGUGGUUCAGUGGUUUUACAAGACCGAUUAAGAAAAUCAUUUUGGUUUACAAUAUUUCGGGGCAUGGGGUAUUUUGGGUUUUGUUCUUACAAAUUCUUUUCUACUUUACACCAGUUCUUAAUCUUCUUUAUUUUAGGGUUCAUUAAAUAUACGAGGAAGAAAAGAACUAGAAAUAAGAAGUGGAAUAAAUCUAUAUAAUAAAGCUGUUUGCUCAUGUAUUUUUGUCAGCUAUAGCUGGCCAAACGGCUGGACCAAAACGGCUGACAUUUUUUGAAGAAACCUAUGGAUACCCUGGGGUAACAUAGACUAAAUUUAAAUUUUUUUUUCAAAAAUAUAAGAGGACAGUGAAGGAUUAGAAGUGAGGUUACCUGUUAAAUAUACCAGGAAGUGAAGGAUUAGAAGUGCAGUUACUUGUUAAAUACUCCAGGAAGGGAAGGAUUAAAAGUGAGGUUACUUGUUAGAUAUACCAGGAUGGGAAGGAUUAGAAGUGAGGUUACUUGUGAAAUACUCCAGGAAAGGAAGGAUUAGAUAUGAAGUUACCUGUUAAAUAUACCAGGAAGGAAGGAUUAAAAGUGAGGUUACUUGUUAAAUACUCCAGGAAGGGAAGGAUUAGAUGUGAGGUUACCUGUUAAAUAUACCAGGAAGGGUAGGAUUAGAAGUGAGGUUACUUGUUAAAUACUCCAGGAAGGGAAGGAUAAGAAGUGAGGUUACUUGUUAAAUACUCCAGGAAGGGAAGGAUUAGAAGUGAGAUUACCUGUUAAAUACUCCAGGAAGUGAAGGAUUAGAAGUGAGGUUUCAUGUUAAAUAUUCUAGGAAGGGUAGGAUUAGAAGUGAGAUUACAUGUUAAAUAUUCCAGCAAGUGAAGGAUUAGAAGUGAGGUUUCCUGUUAAAUAUUCCAAAAAGGCAAGGAUUAGAAGUGGGGUUACCUCUUAAAUUUACUAGGAAGUGAAUGAUUAGAAGUGAAUUGGAGUUGCCUGGAAAAUAUCCCAGGAAGAGAAGGGGAUUAGAAGUGAGGUUACCUGUUAAAUAUACCAGGAAGGGAAGGAAAAGAAGUGAGGUUACCUAUUAAAUAUUCCAGCAAGUGGAUUAGAAGUAAGGUUACCUUUUAAAUAUUCCAGGAAGUGAAGGAUUAGAAGUG